rnacentral:rRNA from 1 species
AUACGUAGGGGGCGAGCGUUGUCCGGAAUGAUUGGGCGUAAAGGGCGCGUAGGCGGCCCGGUAAGUCUGGAGUGAAAGUCCUGUUUUUAAGAUGGGAAUUGCUUUGGAUACUGUCGGGCUUGAGUGCAGGAGAGGUAAGUGGAAUUCCCAGUGUAGCGGUGAAAUGCGUAGAAAUUGGGAGGAACACCAGUGGCGAAGGCGACUUACUGGACUGUAACUGACGCUGAGGCGCGAAAGUGUGGGGAGCAAACAGGAUUAGAUACCCUGGUAGUCCACACUGUAAACGAUGAAUGCUAGGUGUAGGGGGUAUCGACCCCUUCUGUGCCGCAGUCAACACAAUAAGCAUUCCGCCUGGGGAGUACGGCCGCAAGGUUGAAACUCAAAUGAAUUGACGGGG